AAGGAAUAUUGGUCAAUGGACGCAAGUCUGAACCAGCCAUGCCGCGUGAAGGAUGAAGGUCCUCUGGAUUGUAAACUUCUUUUAUCUGGGACGAAAACGGGAUUUUUAUCUCAAUUGACGGUACCAGAGGAAUAAGCACCGGCUAACUCCGUGCCAGCAGCCGCGGUAAUACGGAGGGUGCGAGCGUUAUCCGGAUUUACUGGGUUUAAAGGGUGCGUAGGUGGGCUUAUAAGUCAGUGGUGAAAUCUCCGAGCUUAACUUGGAAACUGCCGUUGNUACGAUGGGUCUUGAAUUAUCUGGAGGUAAGCGGAAUAUGUCAUGUAGCGGUGAAAUGCUUAGAUAUGACAUAGAACACCAAUUGCGAAGGCAGCUUACUACAUAUAAAUUGACGCUGAGGCACGAAAGCGUGGGGAUCA
rnacentral:rRNA from 1 species